AUUGAACGCUGGCGGCAGGCCUAACACAUGCAAGUCGAACGAGUGGCGGACGGGUGAGUAAUGUCUGGGAAACUGCCUGACGGAGGGGGAUAACUACUGGAAACGGUAGCUAAUACCGCAUACCACCAUAUGGGGCAAGAUGGGAUUAGCUAGUUGUGGGGGUAACGGCUCACCAAGGCGAAGAGCCCUAGCUGGUCUGAGAGGAUGACCGGCCACACUGGGACUGAGACACGGUCCAGACUCCUACGGGAGGCAGCAGUGGGGAAUAUUGCACAAUGGGCGCAAGCCUGAUGCAGCCAUGCCGCGUGAAUGAAGAAGGCCUUCGGGUUGUAAAGUACUUUCGGCGGGGAGGCGUUACCCGCAGAAGAAGCACCGGCUAACUCCGUGCCAGCAGCCGCGGUAAUUC
rnacentral:rRNA from 1 species